ACCGCCCCAGCCCAAAUACACCGAGGAUGCGGUCGAGGAGCAGGAGGAGCAUCAGGCCGUCGUUUCAGACCUUAAAAAACAACAGGAAGAAGAAAUCCAACAAAUUGAGGAGGAGUCGGUGAUAAAGACUGUGCAUCUGAAGCAGGAGCACGUCUGCGUGAUCGAGCAGCUGGAGCAGACCAUCGAAGACCUGCGCCUGUAAGAUUGCCGAGCUGGAGAAACAGCAGCCCCUGCUGGAGCGGGAGGUGCAGACGCAGGACCAGGAGUGUGGAGGAGAGGAGCGCCUCCUCCCGGACGUCUGCCAUGUGGACCUACAGACAGAAAACACUGCGCUGCUGACGCUGGAGGCCAAAUCAGUGCAGACGUCUCCUGUGGAGGAGUGCUUA